AUUGAACGCUGGCGGCAGGCCUAACACAUGCAAGUCGAGCGAGCGGCGGACGGGUGAGUAAUGUCUGGGAAACUGCCUGAUGGAGGGGGAUAACUACUGGAAACGGUAGCUAAUACCGCAUACCAUCAGAUGUGCCCAGAUGGGAUUAGCUAGUAGGUGGGGUAACGGCUCACCUAGGCGACGAUCCCUAGCUGGUCUGAGAGGAUGAUCAGGCACACUGGAACUGAGAAACGGUCAAGACUCCUACGGGAGGCAGCAGUGGGGAAUAUUGGACAAUGGGCGAAAGCCUGAUCCAGCGAUGCCGCGUGUGUGAAGAAGGUCUUCGGAUUGUAAAGCACUUUAAGUGGGGAGGCGUUACCAGCAGAAUAAGCACCGGCUAACUGCGUGCCAGCAGCCGCGGUAAUUC
rnacentral:rRNA from 1 species